rnacentral:lncRNA from 1 species
GAAAGACCGAGCUUGUGGAGAAUCGAAUAUGAGGGAACAGAUGUUGCUUAAUGAACUGCAAAGGAGGGAAGAAAUAAUUCAGCAAUUGCACAAGAAAACUUACGAAGAGGAACACAAGAAGGAUGUAGAGAUCUAUAAGCUUGAGAAUGAACUUCGUAUGAUGACAAGUGUAUUAGCCUGGUACCAGAAAGCUUUAAAAGAAACACAGAAGGCAUGUAGAAAGCACAGGAAAGUUUGCCCUUUGCGUGAUAAACCGAUAUACAGAGAUGUUAAAGGUACUGGAGGUUUAGUAUUGAGCACUGCUGAAAUCGAGAAGCUAAGAUUGAAAGAAGAAAAAGAAGAGGGGAUGAGACGAGCUCUAAUAGAGAGACAAGUAGAAGAAUUUGGAAGCCUCUGGAUAAAAGAAUAUGAAGUGAACCUUAAAAAAAAAGUAGAGCUGCUUGACGAGAAGCUGACCGGGUUCCAAAAUAAGGUGAACCUCUUGAAAGAGACAGUUUCAAGACGUGUAACUAUACCUGGAAGAUUUGAUGCAACAUCAGACACUUAAGAAGGUACUUUUCUCUUUUAAACUCAAAACUUUGUUACUCAGUUAGUGUUUCUCACACAGUUAUGUAAAUAAUCUAUGGACGAUUGAAGUGGACGAAGAGAGCCUGAGAUUCUAGUCAUCAAAUACUUACUGGCUUCUUCUUUGGUGGGAAUUUGCAGAACCGGCAUGGAUCCAAGAAGAAGAUUCAAGAACCCAAAAUGAAGUAACAUCGGAUCUUUAGUAGCUCUGUAGUUAUGAUCUUUAGUAGCUCUGUAGUUUUUUGGUAGAUUUUUUUGGUUUGUAGACAUUAGCCAGUGAAUGUAGCCAAUAACGAUCAAAGCAUCUUAUGAACACUACUCUUUAUCAACUACAUUUCAGUCAUCUCUCUGGUUUGGUCUUGGUUUAAAACAGUAGUGACCAAAAAAAUUAAUUAGUAAUUACAAACUUUG